UCCCUAGCCGAAGCACUUGAUCCCUUUGGGCCUGGCAACACCUCUCCUUCCCCCAUCUCCUUCUCCACCACCGGCCGCCGCCACGGCGAGGCCGGUGUGGUGGUGCGCCUCCGCCACCCAUCCAUCUAUCCAUCACCGGUGCCCCACACCACCAGCGCCCAUCUCGCCUGCCGUACCCACGUGCCUCCACCUGCUGCUGAUUCUCCUUGCCGCUCCCUUCGCCUACCUCGCUGUUGUUCUUCUUCCCGACGUCCUCCCUGCUACCCUUCUGCUUCUCCCCGGCUUCCCCUCUCAUCACGUCCCUGCUGCUGCACUUCUUCUCUCCCAACGCUACUGCUGCUACUACGCUCUGCUGCUUCCUCUUGCUAACCUGCUGCUACUUCUUCUCUUUACCCUACUGCUGCUCUACUUCUCUCAUCACAACUGCUCCUCCUCCUCUCUAACCCCUGCUGCCUCUAUCUCUUCUCUGAACCUCCUUUGUUGCUGCCUCUUCUCUCCUCUGCUGUUGGCUUGAGAUUUUUGUAAGCAGAGAUGUGUUAAACUUUGUAAGGUUCAGAUUUUAAGUAGUGCUUGAAACUUGUUCAGUUUCAGACUUGUGCUUGAUUAAUAGUACUUAUUUUGUUCAUCUCAGAUUACUGGAAUUAACUCCCCCUGUUUUCAUAUGUGUUAUAUGUGUACUGUAGCGCUUGUGUUAACUUUGUUCAUGUGAAAACAUAUAUGUUUGUGUUGUGAUAUAAUUUUGUCCCUAUCAUAUUAGCUUGUUUCUUUCCUUUUGUCAUUACUAGUUAUAUAUGUGUUUGUGUUUGUUUGUGAGAGUUGUACUGUUACAUUGUGACUCUCAUUUAGAAUGUAUGAGUACUAGAUAUAUAUGUCAUAUAUAUUCUGUUCAUGUUUAAUAGUUAUAUGUGUUCUUGUCUAGCAGCUUUCCCUAAUAUUUGUGCUAGUGUUUUAGAUUCUCGGGUAUAAUGAAAAUACCAAAAAGAUAUUGAGUAAAAUCUUAAUUUCCCUUUGUUGUUUGUCGUUUUCUUUGCCAACGAUCUUCGGGAACAACCUGGUUAGUUUAGGUUUUAUUUUCUGCAAUCAUCUCUUAAAAUUGUGUUACCUAGCUUUAGUCGAGCACCGCCGCUGAUUUUCCUAGUCCUUGAGGAGAACACGACAUCCGUAGUUUUGGGCGUAAAAACCCCACUAUACUCACAACCGAUCAUUUUUGCGCCGUUGCCGGGGACUAGCGUCGAGUGACCGUGCUAGGCUAUAGACUAGGUUUUUCUUCUUUUCCUAGUUUGUGCUAUAUAUAUGUGAUAUAUCUCUAACUCCUAACCUUUGUUCUAGUUUAUUUCCUCUUUGUUUUCUUUUCCUUUUUGCAGGCUAGAACCAUCUUCUCGGUUAUGGCCUACUAUUCAGAUCACCAUGGAUAUGCGAGCAACACUACAAAUAGCACGGAAAGUAUUCAAGAACUGAUAAGUAAGAUUUCCCAUCGAUUAGAUGAUUUAGCUCGGCAGCGAGAAGUAGUUUUUGAGGAUAGGCCUAGCUCUUAUGAUCCUUAUUCUAGAGGACAUCCUUAUGUUGCUCCUACCUGCCAUAUUUGUGGAUUUCAGGGCCAUUCGCCCGCUGAAUGUCAGUGUGGUUACUCUUGCCCUCUAGAUUGUUUUGGCAUGAGCUUUGCUCAAGAGCAUAGCUCAUACCAAAACAAUUACUCACAUGGGUGGCCUGAAAACCCGAAUAUGUCAUAUAGGAGCAACAACCCUGAGAUCUCAUCAUUUCCCUCUAGUUAUCCAAUGCAAGGAUUUAGGAAUGAAGAGGAGAGCAACAAUUAUGCUCCACAACAAUUUUAUUCUGCUCCUAUUCAUAUACCUCAGCACCAGGAGAUGUUGCCAAUGGAGUUAAAUGGUCCUCCAUUUGGUCAACCAACACCUUCUACACAAGUGCCCACACAAGAUGACUUUCUGAUAUAGACAAGCUCACAUUGCUUAGUCUCGAGUUCACUUGGAGUGCUGAAGAUGAUCCAAUUAGGCCGGUGAUACUAGAUGAAAUGAAGAAGAUCAAGAGUGGGAAUGAGCUAGUGGAAGAAGUAAGGAAGAUUGAGAAGAACAUCAACGCUGGCAGCACUAUUUCUUCGCAGCUAGAGCUGAGUAUUUCUGGGAUAUCCCUUGAUACAUGUGAGGUCCCAACACCUUCACAUUCAGCUGAGCAAUAUAGCGAGAGUCCAGAGGAAGAGAUACUUCAGAUCCAAGAAGAAAUUCUCGAAGCCAAGGCACAAGAUGAUCCAGAGCUCGAAUACCCAAAUGAACAAGUUGAAGAUCCAAUGUCUACUACUUCUGAAGAAGUAAAAGAAGCUGUUGUAGAUGAAGAUGAAGAACCUGAGAUUCAUUUGCCUAUUGUCAUACAAGAGAGUGAUGUGUCAGAUUCAUUUGCCCAUUAUGUUUUGUUUGAUUCUACCUUGCUUUAUAUGAUGCCAUCACUUAAGGUAGAUUUGAAGAAGUGUUUGCUUGGAUAUGAUGAUACUUAUACCGUUGAUGGCAUUGCUCAUACUAAUGAUGAUCACACUUAUUUUCCUCAUGCCAAACCUAUGCUUAAUGAUAAAUAUCAUCUGAAUGCUAGUAUUGAGCUUGUUGAUUCCUAUCAUACUCGUCAUGUUCUAUAUUCCUAUGUUUAUAUAAUUGGAUACUCGAUUGGCGACUUAGAGGGCAUCGACCCUAUCACUCGUAGUUGUUGUUUGUGUGAGUCCUAUUUCAGGUUUUUGCUUGUGCACGAAUCAAUAUAUGUUGACCAGGUUCGAGGUGACAUCCCUUGGGAUCCUGGUGGAGUCAGAGCAUGGCGAUGAGGAGAAGCAAAUGGGCACACAUAUGGAAGAGAGGAGCUGGAGCAUGCACGAGGAAGCAAAAGGAGAGGAGUCGCAAUGCAAGAGGAUGUGAGAUGAUCGAGUGAGUGCUACAUGAUCAAAACCCGGUGUAUACCAUGUUCUCUGGAUCGGUGGUUUGUUCCUUUGGGGAGACAAACAAAAAAACUAAUAAUUGGUCGAGCCGGGUGUAUACCAUGUUCUCAGGAUCGGUGGUACGUUCCUUUGGUGAGAUCGAUAUAAUAUUAUCAUUGCUUUAUUUCUAUAAAUAAGUGAUCCGAUCACAAGUUUAUGUUCUUUUUGUUCUCGGGAUCAUGCUCUCUUUAGGAACCUUUGGCACAAUCAUCAUUUGAACUAGUUGAUCUUCUUUUAUCAUUGUAAAAGUUUAAAAUGGUCAAGUCUACUAGUAUCCUACCACUUUGAAGCACUCCUAACCAUUAAUUUUCACUAGUGAAGUCCAAAGCAUGCACUGUUUAGAGAUCUACUUCACUUGGCAAUCUCUAGUCAGCUCACUGUUCACAUUCUUGCUCUUGUCAUAUGCCUUUGCUUGAGGACAAGCAAAAGUUUAUGUGUGGGGGAACUUGAUAAGCACAUUUCAUAUAUACAAUUUUGGCAUAGAAAUAUAUUAUUUGUUGAGUUUUCACAAUCAAUUCUUGCUAUGAAUUAUUGCAUAUUUGAAUGAAAAUCAUAUAAAGGGAUCAUUUACUUGUUACUUGUUCCUUUUGCAGAAAAGUGCGCAAAGCCACUAUAAUCGUCAAGAUUUCUACUAUGUGGCUAACGAGAAGAGAGAAGGGCAUGAAAGAAAUGCGUCAAGGACCUGAGCGUGAAGGAAAGAAGUAAUCUAGGGGAGCAAACUAAAAGAAGAGGAGGAUCUUCUUGGGCAGAAAUGAAGAUAAGAGGAGGGCCAAUGUGCAAAUGUGGCAGCUCAGAGUGGGGAACAAAAUCCCUAGCCGCAACACUUGAUCCCUUUGGGCCUGGCAACACCUCUUCUUCCCCCAUCUCCUCCUCCACCACCGGCCGCCGCCACGGCCAGGCCGGUGUGGUGGUGCACCUCCGCCACCCAUCCAUCUAUCCAUCACCGACGCCCCUCACCAGCAGCGCCCAUCUCGCGUGCCGUACCUGCAUGCCUCCACCUGUUGCUGAUUCUCCUUGCCGCUCCCUAUGCCUACCUCGCUGUUGUUCUUCUUCCCGACGUCCUCCCUGCCGCCCUUCUGCUUCUCCUCUGCUUCCCCUCUCCUCACGUCCCUGCUGCUGCACUUCUUCUCUCCCAAUGCUACUGCUGCUACUGCGCUCUGCUGCUUCCUCUUGCUAACCUGCUGCUACUUCUUCUCUUUACCCUACUGCUGCUCUACUUCUCUCAUCACAACUGCUCCUCCUCCUCUGUAACCCCUGCUGCCUCUAUCUCUUCUCUGAACCUCCUUUGUUGCUGCCUCUUCUCUCCUCUGCUAUUGGCUUGAGAUUUUUGUAAGCUGAGAUGUGUUAAACUUUGUAAGGUUCAGAUUUUAAGUAGUGCUUGAAACUUGUUCAGUUUCAGACUUGUGCUUGAUUAAUAGUACUUAUUUUGUUCAUCUCAGAGUACUAGAAUUAACUCCCCCUAUUUGCAUAUGUGUGAUAUGUGUCCUGUAGCGUUUGUGUUAACUUUGUUCAUGUGAAAACAUAUAUGUUUGUGUUGU